rnacentral:tRNA from 1 species
GAGUGUGUAGCUCAGUGAUAGAGCAUGUGCUUGGCAUGCAUGAAGUCCUGGGUUCAAUUCUCAGCACCUCCA